CAGUAGGGAAUCUUCCACAAUGGACGAAAGUCUGAUGGAGCAACGCCGCGUGAGUGAAGAAGGUUUUCGGAUCGUAAAGCUCUGUUGUUGGUGAAGAAGGAUAGAGGCAGUAACUGGUCUUUAUUUGACGGUAAUCAAACCAGAAAGUCACGGCUAACUACGUACCAG
rnacentral:rRNA from 1 species